AUUGAACGCUGGCGGCAUGCCUUACACAUGCAAGUCGAACGGUAACGCGGGGCAACCUGGCGACGAGUGGCGAACGGGUGAGUAAUGCAUCGGAACGUGCCCAGUAGUGGGGGAUAGCCCGGCGAAAAGCCGGAUUAAUACCGCAUACGACCUACGGGUGAAAGGGGGGGAUCGCAAGACCUCUCGCUAUUGGAGCGGCCGAUGUCAGAUUAGGUAGUUGGUGGGGGUAAAGGCCUACCAAGCCUACGAUCUGUAGCUGGUCUGAGAGGACGACCAGCCACACUGGGACUGAGACACGGCCCAGACUCCUACGGGAGGCAGCAGUGGGGAAUAUUGGACAAUGGGCGAAAGCCUGAUCCAGCAAUGCCGCGUGAGUGAUGAAGGCCUUAGGGUUGUAAAGCUCUUUUACCCGGGAUGAUAAUGACAGUACCGGGAGAAUAAGCCCCGGCUAACUCCGUGCCAGCAGCCGCGGUAAU
rnacentral:rRNA from 1 species